rnacentral:rRNA from 1 species
UACGAAGGGGGCUAGCGUUGCUCGGAAUCACUGGGCGUAAAGCGCGCGCAGGCGGCCUUUUAAGUCUGGCGGUGAAAUGCCGGGGCUCAACCCCGUUGCAUGCCGCGGAUACUGGGAGGCUGGAGACGAGUAGAGGCAAGCGGAAUUCCGGGUGUAGCGGUGGAAUGCGUAGAGAUCCGGAAGAACACCGGAGGCGAAGGCGGCUUGCUGGGCUUGGUCUGACGCUGAGGCGCGAAAGCGUGGGGAGCGAACAGG